AUGUGAGUGUUGACAAGUCACUUUCUCCCUCCAUUUCUUUUUUUAUUGAGCACUGAGAAAGGGAAGCAGACCAUUUAUAUAAAAUCACUUCUAAAAGCAACACGCAUAUUUCUAUUACUUUUAUUAGGGUUGUAGUUGAAGACCAAAAGUCUAGCCAAAUGACCUGCCCAAGAUCACACACACAUAACAGGUAACGAUCAAGGAACCUAUGUUUAAAGUGGGUGCAGUUAUUGCUGUUGUAAUCUCUUCAAUACCACAAUAGUUAAAUUAAACCUAUAAAUAAUUGAAGGGUUCAAAUAAAGUACCCACAGAACAAAACUAUCUAUUCUACAACUAAAGCCACAAAACGCCCAUUUUCAGAUCCUUCAAGCUUCUGGUCCAUCUGUUCUUUGUCUACAUCACGCUCAUCUAACACCCUGCCAAUCCGUGUAUUUCACAGUGUCUGCAUAUUGCCAAAUGCACCCAGCAGGCCACACCCCUAACUGCAUGAGUCUUAUACUCCAAGCUCAGUGCAAGCAACUAUACGUGAACAGGUGAGAUAUUUAUUCGUUUUCAUGGAAAGGAGAUGAAUACCAUAGUGCUCACUGUCGGCAACUGUAGUGGGUCACCAUGGGUACUGCAAACAUUUCCAAAGCCUGUCUAUGCCCUCCUAACUGUAAAGUCCUACAGUACAGUGCGGGCCCCACUGAGCGCUCAGGCAGUCACUCAGCUGUCAAUGUUUAGAGUUUUUCCAAGGAUUUUCUAAACUGAUAGGAAACAUUUGUCUCAGAAUAAGAUUUGAACAAGAAAAGAAAAGAAUGUGUAGUCAAAAGGGCUGUGCUGCUGGCACGGUGGCACAUGCCCUUAAUCCUAGCACUUGGGAGGCUAACUCAGAGGUUGAGGCCAGCCUUGUUUACAUAAUGAGUUCCAGGAUACCCAGUAACACACAGUGAGGACCCUUUCCCCUAAAGGCUAGAUUUCAACCCAAGGACUGUUUGUUUAUUUGUUUGUUUGUUUUGUUGCAUUUGAAAUAUAUACUGAUUUCUUGACUACACUUUAAAGUAAAAGUUCACUCUUCAGAGACCCAGCCCACCUGAUGAGGACAAGGGCUGCCAUUGUUAUGUCAAAGUCUCUUCCAACUCUGAACUUCAAAUUCUACACUAAGAUUCCUAAAUAAACACAUUUUAAAAAAUAGCCAAGAACUUAAGGGAAGCCGAGCUGAAAGUGCCCUAAGGAAGAUACCCAGCAGAGGCUGCUACAGAAGAGGUCUUCACCGCUGCACACUACACUACCAUCCGAGUUGGCUUCUCAUCUGGCUGGCUCCAUUGCUCACCUUAGUCAGGUACCAAGGGCCAUGUAAAGCGGUAGCAGUCCUAGCUUCCAAAAGAUCAAAGCAGUGCACACACAAACACAGGCACUGCCACACCCUCACACCCAGCACAAGCCCAGCUGAAGACUCUGAGCAGGAGAUACCGUGAUGCACAUAGCCAAGGGGUCCUAGGGCCACUUAGUACACAGAAUUUCCUUUUUCUAUUUCUUUGAUGUUUUGUUUUGAUACAGGGUCUCACUCUGUAGGCCAGGCUGGUCUCAAACUCAAGAGAGUUCCUCCUGAGUGCUGGGACUAAAAGUGUGUGCCACCAUACCCAGCCAACACACACACCCCUUCCUUCCUCAGGGCCUCAUCUGAGGAGCACAGCAUUCCUAGACAACGUAUAGGCAAGAGCCAGAACACCUGUCCCUCGCAGUCAGCGAUGCUCCUGGAGGCUAGGCCGCUUAGAGUUCAGCAGUUUUCUUAGCUCCAAGAUUGAAAAACCCCCUAGUCAAGUUGAGCUCUAUAAAUAAUAUUAAAUCAUAUUUAGUGUCCCGUGAUUUAUGUUAAAGUAAGCUACCCAAUGUCACCCCCUAAGUAGAAUUCACUACUCGCAGCCAUAACUAUAGGGCAGCUAGCUAGGACCUCCCAAGCACACUCUUACUAUUAAACUCCCUGGCUCAUGAAUACUUUAUGCAUUCUAUUUGUUGGGAAAUGCCUUUAAUCCCAGCACCCAAGAUGCAGAGAUAAAUGAAUUGCUUUGAGUUUGAGGCCAGUCAGGCCUACAUUGUAAGGCCCUAUCUUUGAAAAAGAAAAAAAAAAAUUCUACAUAGUGAGACCACGUUUCAAAAAGAUUGUUUUAUUUUGGUAGCGGUAAGAAUACACUUCCCACAAGAGAACCUCAACCCAAAAGAAUAUUACAGAUAAUAAUGUUACAUAUAAAACUUAGUAAAAGCAUUUAGAAAAUUACAUGAAAAUCUGUGCCUCACAGAAUUGUAUAAGACUAGGAAAACUUUUCAAAGUGGUACUUCAUCUCCUGGGUCUCUUAAAACCACCCACACACGUGUCCUACCCAGAGCUAUAUUCCAGAUGAGAAGUCGGAAACUGGACAAUUCCUAUUUCCAAGCAGUACCUAAGGCAAGGACGGGCAGGCAAAACCUCAGCUUUCUUUCCAAAAAACCAAAGUUUUGUUAACGUGAGAACAAAAUAUGACUUAAAUCAUAUUCCAGAAUAAAAAACAUGCUUACAUUUGGGAACCGCUCAUUCUCCCUUUACGUUAGUACGUGCUGGGUAAGAAACACUCAGUAGAUUUCAAAACUCUCCCAAAACAUUACCACCCCGUCACUUACAACAUGGCCUCUCGACAGGGCUAGAGCGCGGAGAUCUGAUCCUCUGUAGCCACCAGGCAUGGCCGUUCGUAAGGACGGGACAGCCUUGUGAAAUGCCACUGUCAGACACUUAAUCAUUUCCUCUCCCUAUAGCCAAUUAAAAUAGUUGGUUUUCUGUGCCUUUCUUAAUGCUUCCCAAUUUACCACAGUCUGGAGGUUGGGGGGGAGAAACCGCCUCCUUAGAAUCCUUAACUUCUCAAGCUAAGGUGGAAUGCCGCCAAAGCUACAUUGAAAACAUCUCUGCUGUGAUGGGGAAGGCGCUCAGCGGGGAGAGGAGCUGCCUAGCAAGCACGACCCCAGCACUGCGUAAGACGCAGUGUGAUCACAUACCUCUCUAUCUCAUCCCACUUACAAGUGGGGCAGGAAUCCUCAUCUACUCUGCAUAAGACACUCAAAAGAACAAGGACAGCACAAAUGAUAAUACCCCACCUUGAUACCAGGUAGUCUUCCUAAUACCUAAGCCAUCACCACCAACCAUCCCAACACAUCUCUAUUCAAGAGGCUCUGUCAGCCCUGGCCUGAGACUGGCAAGGCCUAUCAUGCCUCACUCUCUGCUCCUGCUGGUUCCUGGGAACCUUACAUCAUUAAUACGUGCUACACAGCCCACACGUACCUUUUAGUAACCGUUUCUCAGCAUCUGUCUCUAAAAUGUCUGAAAACUCAAAAUCCUCCAAUUACAAUACUUUACUGAAUCAAUGAGAAAAAAAAAUCAAAGAACAUAGUAUCAAAAUCACCCCCUUGGAGCUGGAGAAAUGGCUUAGAGGUUAGAAGCAUGCAAUGGUCUUCCAGGGGACCUGAGUUCAAUUCCCAGGAUCCACAUCCAAGGCAGCUCACACUUGCCUAUGACUCCAGCUUGAGGGAGAUUGACGCCACAGGCAUCUGUGGGCCCCCGAACUCAUAUGCACACAACUGAAAACUAAACAUGUAGAAAAGAAUCCUUCCUGAGGGGCCGAGAGGUGGCUCAGAGGUUAAGAGUGAUUAUGUUCUUCCAGAAGACCAGAGUUCAGUUCCUAGCACCCACAUUAGGCAGUUCACAACUACCUGUAAUAAAAUCUUUAAAAAAAUAAAAUAAAAUAAAAUAAAAUAAAAUAAAAUCACUCCUGACACACUCACUUUGUGAGACACUUGCUUUCAGGCAUCUAAGUUGGUCUAAGUUGGCAUCAUUAUACUUGGUUCAAUCUGAUGAGGAGGCCACAGAACUAAGAGACGAAAACACCCAGGAGACAAGCUGUAUAUUUUGGCAGCUAUACUUUAAAAAGAGUAACACCUCCCCUGUGGGAAUUUAUUCCUGUUAGCUAUCACUUCUGUUGGCACAAUUCCCUUUGAGUCUCUUGCUACUUGCUAUAAAAUACCAAGGUUUUAUGUUGUAUUUUAAAGACUCACACUCAUUACUAGUACUUAAUUAGACGGGAUUUUUCUUUUCCCUAGACGGGGCCUUUGCUAUGUAACCCAAAUUGGCCCCAAACUCAUGAUCCUUUUGCCUCAGCUUCCAGUGUGCUAGGACUACAGGGGUGUGCCACCAUGCCUGCUUAGUCGAAGGGAUUCCUUUUUAAUGUGUUUGCUGGGGUGAUGAGCUGGCCUAGCAGGUAAAGGUGUUUCCUGCCAAGCUCGAUGGCCUCUGUUUGGUCUCCGGGAUGCAAACGGUGAAAUGAGAGAGCUGGCCUGAAGGCUGUCCCCUGAUCUCUGUAUGUGUACAUAUGACACAAAACAUCACACACGUACAAGGUAUCACACACAUUCACACAAUAAAUCUGUUUUUAAAGAAUUCUUAGGGACCAGGGGCUGGAGACUGUAUAGCUCAGUGGUAGAGCAUAUACUUAGCAUACACCAUGUUCUGGGUUUAAUCAAAUAAAAUAACAUAUACAUGGAAUGUAUAAGGGCUAAGUUAGGCCAUAAUGAGAUAGCGAUUUACAGCUAUUAGAGAGGCCAGUAUGACAGCAAGAGUUGGUGAGGAAGGAAGAAAACUGAGCCUCUCUCUGUGCAGAGUAGGUGGUGUGUAAACCAGAACAGCUAUUUAAAAAAAUGGCAUGGCCGUUCGUCAGAAAACUAAAGAUGGAACCAUGAAACCCUCCCAUCCUAAAUGGGUGCACAGCGAAGGAAUCAGGUUCAUAUGCUGAACGAGUUUGUGCCCCUCAAGCCUCAUUAGCGGAUGAUUAAGGAAGAUAGGGCCCGUAUCUACAGUCUGCCUUUAAAAGGUAGGAAACUUGGCCAUUCUCAGUGACAUUACAACACUGUAAGCCAGACGCUGAAAUUUAAGUACUCUGAGCACUCGCUUACACAUGGCAUCUAAAGGGAGAGCAGAAAAGUGAUCUGAAGCCGAGGGAGAGGAAAGAGAAGAGGCUGACCAAGAGGCACCCAAGGUUUUGGCUCUAAUGGAGGAAUGAGUUUAGGUGAUGAUCUACAGUGUGCAAAGGUAGCCACAGGCGAUAACGGAGGAUGUACUUAAAAACUUCCAGAAAGGGGCCAAAGGGGCUGGAGAGAUGGUGCAGCAGCCUGACGUUCAACUCUCAGCACCCAUAUGGCAGCUCACAACCAUCUGUAACUCCAGUUUCAGGGGAUCUGACACUGGCAUACAUGUGGUUCACAUACUUGCAUGCAGGCAAAACACUCAUACACAUCAAAGAAGCAUAAGUUAAAUUAAAAUAUAAAGACUGCUUUGGAAAAACAUAGUUUUUAACAGAGACACCAUAAAAAUUAAGAUGCUAAUGAAUAUACUAAAUCUUUAGCGUGAUGAACUCUUUCAUGCAUACACAUUUGUAAUCCCGCUGCUAGGGAAGUAGAGAGAGAGGGACACUUGGGGCUCACUGGCCAGCUACUCUAGCCCAAUUGAUAAGUUUCAGGCCAAUGGGAGGAGUGUCUCAAAGGAAGUAUAUGAUAUUUAUGAUGAUGAUACUGGAAGUUGUGUUUAGGGGGAGGGGAGGGCUGAGACACCCUACAGUAGGGUGCUUACUAACGCAAACAAGACACAAAGUCCUGAAUUCAAUUUCCAGAACCAAGAAAGUAAUGUUUUAGGUUUGUUUUUUUGUUUUUGUUUUUUUGUUUUUUUAAAUCUCAACCUGCACACAGGAUGAGACUAGCUUACCUUUGGAUAGGAUAAAGUUUACGAAUGAGACCAAGUGUUUUUCUGGCCCAGCAAAUAACAAACCAAAGCACAGAGGCAGAAAGCGAGGUGGGGAGGUGGGAAGCAGAUCAUAGGUCUGACAGGACUCCAAGUGCUUAAAGAUUACCCUCUAGCACAUGUGACUGCAUCUUAAAGGCUCUCUCUGCAGGUUGGAGAGUCUCUAGAAAGGCGGCACACACCUGAAAUCCCAGUACUCUGUAAUAAUCUCAGCAUUUUGGCAUGAACUCAAGAGCCUGAGGUCAGCUUGAGCUACCCAAGGAAACCCAGGUUAUUUUUUCCUUCCUGUAACUGUCUAUAACUACAUACUAAAACAUCAAUGAAAAAAACCAUGUCAAUGUACCAGUGUUUAAACAAACCAACAGAAAAGAACUCUGUAACGAUAAGCCUAUGAGUGACAUGUGGGCUGCAUGUACAUGGAAAACAUAACCCACUCUCCAACUCUGUAAACUGCAUAGAACUCCUUUCUGAACAUGUUACACUUUUAGAGACUGUGCUGGUUUCAACAGGAAUGCUGAGUCAUCAGGAAGGAGCACUAUUUGAGGAAGAUUAGAAGGAUGGGAAUGCUGAGUCAUCAGGAAGCUGCACUAUUUGAGAAGGAUUAGAAGAAUGGGAAUGCUAAGUCAUCAGGAAGCAGCACUAUUUGAGGAGGAUUAGAAGGAUGGGAAUGCUGAGUCAUCAGGAAGCAGCACUAUUUAUUUGAGAAGGAUUAGAAGGAUGAGGAGGUGUGGCCUUGUUGGAGGUGUGUCACUGGGGGCAAGCUUUGAGGAUUCCAAGGGAAGCCAGGCUUUCUUGGCAAUUAGGUCAGGAUGCAGCUCUCAGUCACUGCUCCAGUGUCACGACUGCUGACAUGCUCCUCCCAUGUGCCCCACUGUGAUGACAAAGGACCACUGGAAACUGUAAGCAAGUCUCCAGUUAAAUACUUUCUUUUGUAAGAGCUGCCUUGGCCAUAUUGUCUCUUCAGAACAGAAGAGUGACUAAGACAGAGACACAGUGGUAAGUAAGCUGCCCACCUUUUGAUAAGCUAGACAGAGAAAGUCCUUGCAUCUGUUCACCCAUUAUUUUUUAUUUAUUUAUUUAUUUAUUUAUCUCAUGUAGCCAGGCUAGUAUUCUGAGUGUGUGUGACAUUAUAUACUCUGAGAUUGCUUACACAGCCAGUGACUACAGUGGCAGAGGGUUGAGCAAAAGGGACAAAUUUCACAAACAUUCUAUAGCAUUCUUAUUCUAUUUUUAAAUUUUUUAAGUAUGUGUCUGAGGUUUGCCCACAGAGGCAAGAGGAGGGCAUCAGAUCCCCUAGAGCUGGAGUUAGAGGUGGUUGUGAGCCAUCAGACAUGGGUGCUAGGAUCAGAACUCUUGAGCAGUCUGUGCCCUUAACCACCAAGUUUUUCCAACCUGACAUUCGGUUGUUAACAGAGGACUGCAGGUGCCUGGCUUAGGCUGAUUAGUUUGGGGAUAGUCACUAAAAUUGGGUGUACAGAACAAAGACAGACAUCCAAGAAGAGGAAGGCAGAACGCCUCAGAUAUCUGAGUUAGAAAUGUCUUUCUGUGUUGUCUACUGGAAACACUGGCCUGAGGAAAACACAUCUGAUAUGAUGAACAUGGAAGUGCUUAAUCUGUAUUAGAUCAGGUUACCAGGGAAAGAAAGUAAAGAAAAUAGCAAGGCUUGUAAACAAUCCCGAGGGAAUGAGUCCACCGAGCUUUGCCUGGGAGAAGGGAAACAAGGCCAUGGGACACUGUACGACUCACGUUGUACAGUGGAAUAGCAAAGCUGACAUUUUUGCAGUACACAGGCAGGAGGAAGCCAGUGAUAGUGUGGAAAUAGGAAUGGAGCUGGAAGCUGCAGCUCAUUGAUAAACUGCUUGCCCAGCAUGCUACGGCUCAGUUUGAUCCCCAGCAACGACAUACACAUACACAGUGGAACAUGGAAAUGAAUAAAAUUACUUUUGAGGAGAGACAAACAGCCAUCCGCACAAGACAAGAGUAAAAACAAAGGCAAAACUCAACCACGGUGAAGAGCACAGUGCUCAGCAAUGAUGCUACGUAAGGAACUAUAGCAGGAAGGGAAGUACAGAAAGGAAAGCAGCCAGCAGCCAUAACUCAAAUGGGAUCAGCAGGCAUUCACUCAGCAAGUGGUUACUGAGGGGCUGCCAGGCACUGUCUGACCCUGAUGACACACGGAUGCUGCUGCAGCCUGCUCUGAUAGAACCGCUCAGGGGAAAAAAUUCAUUGGGUUUACACGUUACAGUCCUCCAUCAAGAGAAGCAGAGACCAUGGCGGCCGGCGCGCUUCUCACUGGCUGACUCAAGACCUUUCCUAUAUUAUCCAGACCCAUCCACCUAGGGUAACGGUGUCUGUCCAGAGUGGCCCCGGUCCUCUACACCAUUUAGCAAUUACAGGCCAUGCCUACAGGUCAAUCUGAUGGAGGCACUUCCUCAAAGGAGGUUUCCUUUUUUUUCCAGGUCACUAGUUUGUGUCACAUGGACAAACACUAACUAAGACUGACAGGAAAUGCCCUAGCUUGCUUCCUAUUACUGUAACAAACACCUAAACCAAGAGCAACCUGGAGAGGAAAAGGUUCAUUUGGUGUACAGUGCCCUCCAUGAGGACUAUAGUACAAACCCCGGGCACCCACAUAAAAGCCCAGUGUGGCAGUAUGCAUCUGUAACCUUAAUACCAAUGAGAGUAGAGACAGGCAGAUCCCAGUUUACUGUCCAGUCAGUCUAGAGAAAAGGCAAACUGGGUUUCAUAAAAGUCCCUGUCUUAAAAAAACAUGGUAGAGGGUUGGAGAGAUGGUUCGGUGGUAAGAGCACUGACUGCUUUUCCAGAGGUCCUAGUUCAAUCCCUAGCAACCACGUGAUGGCCCACAACCAUCCGUAAUCAGAUCCCAUGCUGUGUUUAGUAUGUCUGAAGACGGCUACAAUGUACUCAUAUAGGUAAAAUAAAUAAAUAAUUCUUUUAAAAACAAAACAAACUCUGGUGGAUAGUGGCAAAGGGAAUACCCACAGUUGGCUCUAGCCCCCAGAGUUGACCUCUAGCCCCCCACAGUUGACCUUGAACCCCCAACACAGUUUACCUCUAGUCCCCUCAGUUGCCCUGUAGCCCCCCACAGUUGACCUCUAGCCCCCCACAGUUGACCUCUAGGCCCCGCACAGUUGACCUCUACCCCCCACACAGUUGACCUGUAGACCCCCACAGUUGACCUCUAGCCCCGACAUAGUUGACCUGUAGCCCCCCACAGUUGAACUCUAGCCCCCGCACAGUUGACCUCUAGCCCCCACACAGUUGACCUGUAGCCCCCGCACAGUUGACCUCUAGCCCCCACACAGCUGACCUGUAGCCCCCCACAGUUGACCUGUAGCCCCCCCACAGUUGACCUGUAGCCCCCACACAGUUGACCUGUAGCCCCCCACAGUUGACCUCUAGUCCCUACACAUGUACAUGCAAGCAUACAUGCACACACAUCAUACAAAUGUACAAAAGAACAAAUGUUACAUAAAAUAUUUGAAGUUUGUUGUUUUGAGUCAGGGUUUCAAUAUAAAGUCCAGGCAAUCCUCCUGUCUCAUCUGGCUCUUUUGUUCUGUUGAGAGAGGUCUCACUCUGCAGCCCCAUGCUGACUAUGUAGCCCAGGCUGGUCUCACACUCACAACAAUCUUCCUGUUUCAGCCUCCUGAGUGCUGGGAUUACAGGUGUGAAAAGCCAAUAAAUAAACUUUUCCUGUUUAUACACUGUCUGCUGUUUGUAUACUACAACAGAGAACAUCUGGCACUUGCAGAGACAAACUUGCUGGUUGGACCUAAAUGAGGAAAAUCUAAACAUAAAGGCCUCGAUGGCACAGACAGCCCAGCAACAAGUGCAAAAGUCUAAAGACAGCAACCAACACAGCGUGGCAGCCAGAGGCAGAAGAAAAGCAUCCUGGGCCAGAGGCCAUCUCUCACCUCUGGCCAUAGCUGAAGAACUGCAGUUCACAAUAAGCAGUGGCAGACACUGCCAGGUUUAACGUGAGUAACAUAUCUGAUACUGGAAUCCAUAAUAACUGUGUGAAGAACAAACUCCGAUGAGGAAAGAGCAGCAGUAAGGACAGGGGAAGAGGGAGUCCAGGCAGGAAAGGACAAGGGAGAGUCUGGGGUUUCAGUAGUAGCGCUGGCGAGAGGAAGCUGGGAAUGGGGUAUGUUUUAGACGUAGUAUAGAGAAUUUACUGAGCUUAGAUUUAAGAUAGGAAUGAAGAGAAAUCAAGGACACCUCUUAUGAAGUUUUAGGCCUGAGCAGCUGACUACGUGGAGACUCAAUCCAAACCAGAAUGAGAAUAGCAAAGAUUUGGGGGGAAGACCCAAGACUUCUGGGAGAUGCUUCAUGUGAAAUACUUACAGGAUUUCAAAUGCCUAACAUGUGAGGAAACACACACGAGGGGUCACACUAUAGCCUGGCCCACAACAAACAUUCAGUAAAUGUUAGCUAAGUUAUUAUUAUUACUACUAUCUAAAUAAAAAGGUCAAAUAUGCACUUGGCUAUAGAAUUGGGAACUCCAUAAAGUAGCCAGUAUUGAAGACUCAAUUUUAUGCAGUAGUUCUCAGCAUACAAGGGAAAAGAAGGCAGCAGAAGGUAGGCUCCUGGGUGCUCCACAGCCAGGCACUCAGUGCAGAGAGACCCAUGCUGAACAGCGGAAAUUAAUAGCUGGCAAGGACAGCGUGUCAGAGGCCAGGGGAAAGAGAAGGGGGUGCUUCAAACACUGCGGAGGGGUUAAUCAGACAAGGUCUAUUCACAGACCCCGGGGGACCCUGAUGAAAGCUGAGGCUUGGGGAUAAAGCCCAACUGCAGUCACUGAGGGAGCCUGAGAAAGUGGCGACAGCAGCCACAACACUUUAAAGAGCUCUGCUGUAAAGGGGUGGCAAACACAGGUAGUGACUGGAGGAGGACAGGCCAGGGGUGAUUUCAAAGGAGGGGUGUAUUCAGAUGGAUGGUUUCAUCCUGGGACUGGGCGAGGGGCUGUCGGGGUGCUGACUGAGAAGGGUCCGGAAUCCAGUGCUCAAGGGGAAAAUGGCCGUACAGAGGAAGGAGCACUCUGACUAGAGAAGGUGGCAUAGAAGUAUUGCCAAGUUCCCUUAAACUGAGAAGGAAACACUAUCAAACACUUCGAGAAUAGUUUUUAAGUUUCUCUAGUUUUAUGCCCAGUAUAACAGAACCAACUGUCAAAUAAACACAGAAACUGUUGUGAUCCCAGUAAGUUAGGAAGCUGAAGCAGGAAGACAGGCAGGCCUAGGCAGUGCAGGAAGAUUCUGCCUCAGUGCGGGGUAUGGGCUGCUAACUGCGGAAGCAGGAGGGCCAGGAAGAGUUCAGUCUCCUGGUGUGGAGGUGACGCCUUCAGUCCCAGCACUCGGGAGGCAGAAGCCAGGCAGAAGCCAGGCAGGCCGUCGCAGAAUUCCAGGCCAGUCUGGGUUACAUGAGAUCCUGUCUUUAAAACAAAACAAACAAACAAAAAACAAACAAACAAAAACAUGCUUCAAAAGAAAAACAAAUCAAUAACUCAGUAGUUAAAUGUUUAUCACCUUGUAUAAAACCUGGGAUCCCCACAUUUCCAAGAAAUCAGUGACAAGUGCUGGAGUCUCAGCCCUUGACAAGCUACCCCUCCCCCCAGGUUAUUAUCUAAGUUCUUUUUUAAAGUUCAGCUUAAAAUAUAACAUGAAUGUAAGUACUAAAAUAAUUAUAGCACUUUGCAAGAUACUUUGGGAAUUGACAAUCUGAAGGUUGAAGCUCUUAAUUCUGUUACUAGUUUUCAUAAUGACAGUCUUGCUUUAAAAAGAGAAGAAAAGGAAAAAAAAAAAGUAACUGAACUAACAUCAGUGUCUUGUGAAGUGGCCAGCGGGGGUGAGAGCCGAUUCUCUCUGAUGGCAGGUGCAUCCAGGGGACAGUUGGCUGUCUGAAUGCACCACAGGAGGAGAGACUGAAGCUCUUUUACAUAUGAUCUCCGACUGUUGUUGAAAAAAAAACAUUAACAGGGAAAGGUCACCCAGGAUUAAAGAGUGCAAAGACUGUAACACACUGUUCUUCAGUAACAAUAGGAGGCCACACUUCAAUCUACAAAAAAAGGACUCUAGUUUCCAAGCUUUUAAUUCAGUUCUACCUAGCCACUGUCACCCGAGGACCAUAACUGCUAUAUACCUUAACAGGAGGAGACAGCGCCCUUCAAACCCACUCCACGUCAACAAGAACAAGAAACAAAGAUGCCCAAGAGAGCUAAGCAAAUGAGCCAGGUGAAUUCACCCAACCUGCUUCAGAAAGAGGAAGUCAUAACGGAGCUCAUCUGUCUUUAAAAGCAAACCAGUGGGCUGCGCACCAGCUCAGACAGUAGGCUAUUCAGAUCCUUGGCUGUGGCCCAAAUUACUUCACAGAAUCAUUAAAAACAAAUAAUCAAGGCUGAGCAUGGGGCACAGGCCUGUAAUUCCAGCACCUGGAGGCAGAGGCAAGAGAGGCAGGAGUUCAAGGCCAUCCUCAGUUACACAGCAAGUUCAAGGGUACGUGAGAACUUUUCUCAGGAAAACAAGGAAAUCAAGUGCUAUUCCAGCCUCCCCAGUUUCCAAGUCUCAACUGGCUUAUCUGUUUAUCAAAGAAAAAGAAAUGAGCCCGAGUAACAGGCACACUGCAGAAAAUUGUUAAGAAUCACAGGGGGUGGGGGGAGAGUUAGUCUUCUCUCUCAGGGAACCAGAUCUGUAGUCUGGAAUAGUAAACAAACACUAAGUUCACUUUGAAUGAUGGUUCUUCUCGUUGUAAGAGGACUUGGCUCCUUACCACCUUGAAGCAGUUACCUUCAUUUAAGUUAUAUCCUAAUUCAAGUUUAGGGGUGUUUGUUUGUUUUUUGCUCCCCUCCUCCCUCCCUCUUUUUUUUUUUUUCUUUUUUCCUUCUGAGAUAAAGGUCUUGGGAUGUAGUCCUGGCUGGCCUGCUACUCACUAAGCAGCGAUUCUCUUGGCUCGCCCUCCCAAGUGCAGGGGCUGCAGGCAGAGCUGCCAUGCCUGGCUCUCAAGUGCAUGCUUCCACUGUAAGAGUUCAGUUCUCUCCUGGUUUGUUCUCAAGAUGCAAAAUCAAGUUUCAUCUUUCCUUUUAGGACUACGGGCUACUGAAUGACCAAUAGCAAGUUGGGUAUCACUGAGAAAGCCACAACUUCCUUCCCUCUAAAACAAACAGGGCCAUCUCACCGCAAAGGCAGUGUGAAGAAUAACAUGAACAUCCCAUUUAGGAAAGCAACAAGGCUUCCAAGGUCUCUGUCAGUUCAUUAUCUUUUAGGACAUAAUGGUCAAAUAAUAUAGUUGGAGAACUCAUGGUCUAUUGAUAACUAUUUCAUGUUUGGAAGCUUACUAUCAAGUUCUGAGAAGCCCAUAUUAGAUGGCAUUAACUACUUUUUAAAGAAAGUCCCUGGUAUUUUUUAAAGUGCUCUGAUACUGGAGUCUUUCAAGAAGAAGAGAGAAUGCAAUUGGAAUGCACUGUGAAUUUCAAAAAAAAUUACUGAGGAGGAGGAGGAAGAGGAGGAAGAGGAGGAAGAGGAGGAGGAGGAGGGAGGGAGAGAGAGAGAAUAUGAACAGACCAACGGGUAUGGCAUGCCUAUGAUUCCAGUACUUGGGAGGCAGAAGCAGGUAGAUCUCUGUGAAUACAAGGCCAGCCUGGUCUCAAAAACAAAAACAAAAUCAAGAAGAACAGAGAAAGUAAGAGGGAAUUCCACGUUUCUGUCUUCUCCCUUCUGUGAGUGAGGACCAGCAUGGUUAGCACUGUAAAACUACACGUGAAGUCUGAGUUUGUUCUCUGUCUCUGAUGGCAGCAACCAUGCCCCCAGGGAGCGGCCCGCCCUUGGCUCGCAGGAUUCCCGCAGUAAACCGGCUUCUAAGAACUGUAUGAGCAUAGCUGGUUAAAGGGACUUGAUGAAACUUAAGAGAAUAAACUAAGUAGUAAUCUACUUAACAGAAGAAGGCAAUGAUACUCAAUUCCCAGCGCUGAAUUAAAAAAUUCUAACAGUUUAACACCACAAUGGAGGCCUGGCGGCGGGAAGACGCCUGGUGUGAGUAUUAAUUCUGCCCAGAGUUUUAGUAAUCUAGAUGAAUAAUCCCAACUUCACAGCUCUCGGUCUGACUGUACAGGAAAUGCUUUCUGUAACCCAACAUAUCUAAAAAGGUUUCAUUCUGAGUGAUGCAAACCCUCCACACAGACUCAAAAGCCAAGGGUCAGAGGUUUAUAUCAGACUCACUCACAUGAAGACUGGAAGCGACUUGCAAGCCCUGCCACAACCCUCCACAUGCAGGCUUCUGGAGCCACAGAGAGACAGAAACUUACUUCCUGUGUGAGGACCAUGUCUACUUACUCCCAGCUCUUUUUGAUGUCUAAGAUUUGUCUUUCAGCUUCACUUUAAAAAGUUUUUAUUCUCCUAUAAAACCACUACAAAAAACCAUUAUUCCAUAAAGACAUUUCUCUGGAAGCUUACUACAAAAAUUAAUUAUCAUCAUAAAUUGACAAUCCAAAUCAAAUACUUCUUGAGAAGCCAGUGAGGCCCUGGGACCCUUGAGGAAUAUUAAAAUAUAUAAAACCCGAUCCAUGUCCUCAAGAAGCUGAGUGAGGCUAUAUUUAUCGAUUCACAGGAAGGGGAGGUAGAGAGAGGUCAUUUUAUACAUAUGUAGGCAGAACUGUGCUUUUACCUCCGGAGAGGAUUAUUUUGGUAACCUUUUUCCAUCACUAUGACAACCAUCAUUAGCAACAAGUUCUUUCUACACCAUUCUCCUAUCAGUUUAAACCUAUUUUCUCUUAUCCCCGUACCAGUGGAGCUAGAGUUUUUGAAGAAUUGUAAGUCAUCCCUUAACCCUUCACUUGUUCAACCUCUCCUUCCUGACUUCCAAUUAUAGUAUCAGCUUUUGUGUCUCCUCACAACCAUCACCAAGGUCUCCUCAUCCCUUUAGAGCUAAAGAACCUAGGAAUGGAGACAACAUCCAAGCAAGGGGAUGGCCCGAGCUAAAUGCUAUCUGUAUAAAAGAUAAUGCCGACUAAUCAGAGUACCUCAACACCACUUCAAAACCCCUGCCUUGGGGUGCUUUUAAAGCUAAGUCCUGUAUGGGAGGCAGAGGUAGAUGGAUCCCUGAGUUUGACUGAGGUCAGCCUAAUGUGCAUAAGUAGUUCUAGUGGUUGCUAGGGCUACAUAGCAAGACACUAUCUCAUAUAGUAAUUAAUAAUGAUUCAUUAACAAGUCCUGUGAUGGCUCUUAUACUUUCCUCUGCAAUACGUGUGUGUAUGCACAUGUGUAUGGGGUGUGCAUGCUUGAGCAUACAGAGGACUCUCUGCAUUACCACCUUGAGACAGGGGUCUCUCACUGGACCUGGAACUCAACAUUUCUGACAAGGCUGGCUGGCCAGUGAGCUCCUAGGAUCCAUGUGUCCCUGUUCAACUCAGGACUGGAGUUCCAGGCACAUGCAGCCAUGACUGGCUUUACAUGGGUGAUGGGCAUCCCAGCUCACACCCUCAUGUGAGCAUGCAAAGGGCAAACAUUCUUACCCACGGAGCCAUCUCCCCAGACAAAGUCAAAAUCACCUAGCUGUACACAUUCUCCUAGUUUAGUAAAACCUUGCAAAGUGUCCCUAAGAGUUCAAUAAAUACUCACUGAUCCACUUUACACAAAAACUUAGCACUGUAAAACAAGCCAUGACUUAGAAAUGCACCCAGCCUUGACAGGUAGUCAUAAACUAUUGGGCAAAGACAGAUGAAUUCACGGAUCUGUAACAAAAGGAAGCCUGCACUAAGAAAGCUCUUUGAGGGUUGGGUACAACAAUUUUUUUAAAAGACACUGAAUUUCAACUCAAUAGCAGCGCCUGUGAAUGUUUCAUGAGAGAGUUGCCAUAUGGAGAGCUGAGUUGAACCACAGAGUUGAAUAAGCCAGAGGCAGGUCAAGAAGUGAAGGCAAAGAGGCUUUGCAAGGGCACCAAGGCAGGGCAUUAGGGCCGGAGAGAACAUGAACGGUCCCCGCAUCCGAUGUGGAUAUAGAUAGCAAGGAAGUGAGAAAGCAUACGUAGCAGAUAAGUUUAAACUGUAGACUUGCAGGCCAGGUGAGCUACAAAGGGCUGAGAAUGUAAAACCACCUGUUUGUGAGAAGUCAAGGGCCUUAGAGAAACAGUAACAGAUCCUAUCUCCAUCCAAGGAAAACACUGGCCACACUGUGUGCAAUGAAAAGGGAGGGUGGCUAAUUAGGAGAACACCAUAACGGUCCUCAAUAACAGACAUAAUAAGCCAGACAGUCAGGACUGAACAGCAGGGCCAGACUGCAGAGACACGAGGAAUGCAUAAUGGACAGGACUCAGACACGCAGUGGGUGGGUGGAAGGGAAAGGACUUUCACCCAACGAGGAGACAAGAGUGAAGGAGACAUGUGCCACAAUGUAUGUAUGAAGGUCAGAAGACAACCUGCAUUUUUUGUUUGUUUGUUUGAUUGUUUUGUUUUUCGAGACAGGGUUUCUCUGUAUAGCCCUGGCUGUCCUGGAACUCACUCUGUAGACCACAGAAGACAACCUGCAGAAGUCUGUUCUCUCCUUCCACCAUGUACAUUGUAGGAAUAGAACUCAGGUCGUCAAGUUCAGUGUCUAGCACCUUUUAUCUACUGAGCCACCUCAUCCGUCCCAAACAUGUUCUCAUUUAAGAGUUACUGCUGGGCUAGACAGAUUAAAGAUGGAUGGCUCAGGGACUACGAGCACUUGCUGUUCUUGCAGAGGAUCUGCGUUCUCUUCCCAGCACUGACAUGGUGGCUCACAACACUUGCUAACUCCACUUCCAGGGCAUUCCAUCCACUCUUCUGGAAGGUACUGCAAUGCAUCCAGUACCCAUACAAACAUGGAGGCAAAACAUUCAUACGGGAAAAAAGACAUUUUUUAAAUGUGUGUGUGUGUGUGUGUGUGUGUGUGUAUACAUGAGUUUGUAUGCAUGAUUGAGCACAGUGUGCAAGCCUGAUGCCUGAGGAAGUCAGAAGAGAGGAAUUCAGAUGCCCUGGAAUUGGAGUUAUGAAUGGUUGUGAAGCACCACGUGGGUGCUCGGAAGAGAACUCACAUCUCCUGCAGGUGUAGUCAGUGCUUGUAACCACUGAUCCAUCUCUCCAGCCCCAAAAUAAGAAUAGUUCUAAAAUGAGGGCGGGAGAGGGAGAGAGGAGAGAGAGACUACAGAACUGUAUUUUAUUUUCUGUUUGUUUCAAGACAGGGUUCCUCUGUGUAGCCCUGGCUGUCCUGGAACUUGCUCUGUAGACCAGGCUGGCCUUAAACUCAGAGAGAUCUGACUGCUUCUGCUCCCAAAUGCAUGGUCGUCACCUGGGUCCUACUAAUUAUUUUAAAACUUUAACUUAGACUUUACUGUUUGAAGUUAUUUUAAUUAUUUCUCAAAAGUUUCAACCCCCAGAAUUUGUAACUUACAACUCAGCAUCUCUUCUAUAAUUAAAUUGUUAGUUGCACUGAUCUCUCUAGAUCAAACAAUAUUGAUUCUGUCCGAAUUGAAACUCGGAGACAAAUGUAAAAGAGUUAUCAAUUACAGACCAGUGGAUCUGAAGCUGGGAGGCAAAUAAGCAAAAAAUAAAAUAAACCUGGUUUUCAAUUAAGCAACCACCAAGUGAUGACAUUAAUAAAAAGAUUAAGAGUAUCAGUUAUAGCCAGACAUAGUAGUGCACACCUUUAAUUCCAUCACUUGGGGAGCAAAAGCAGACAGAACUCUGUGAGGCUAGCCUGGUCUACAGAGUGAGUUCCAGGAUGGCCAGGGCUACAGAGAGACAAGAAAAUUAGUCAUAAGGAUCAAAGAUAGCAACUCCUAUGCAGCUGCCUGGGCCGGACCAGUCCACAGCUCGGGUCAACCUCCCUUGUUCUUUCUCCUCUCUCUGGGUCUUAUCUCUGAUUGUGUUUUCCUUGGCUACCAAUGAUACCUUCGGUUACCAAGAUGUGUAGCUGUCCUUCGGUUUGGUUCCACUUAGCUUACAGGUAACUUGAAACCCAAAGCAAAAUCAGUAACAUUCUGAAGUCAGGACACAGAGUGUUUGUCAUGUCAGGGCUGGGGUCGACCUCGGCACUCAGACAGGUUUGUGUGCGCGCACACAUAUACACAUACCACAAAGUAAUAGAACAAUCCAGUUAUGAUGAAAAGAUCACAGGCAUCCUGUUGGUUCAAUUUCUCAUUCUAAUAAUAACUAGGGCUCCCUAUGUGCUAAGCAGAGUGCUAAGUGCUUUGCAUGCAUGGUCUCAAUUAAGCCUCACAAUAAAUAAGUCAUAUGAAGCAUGAUUACCCCUGAUUUGCAAAUGAAGAAACUAAGUCCUGAAGGAGUUAAACUUUUCUACAAGGUCACUCAGCUAAUAAAGAGCUAAAUUAAGAUUUGAACCCAGGCAGUCUAAACCCAGGGCCCUGUUCGAUCAGCCCCUAAUCACUGUGCUAUAUCAUCUCACACUCGUCCAGAUUAGACCGUGAGAUUUGCCAUCCCCUUUGUAAAGGCAUUUAUAUAUGCACAAAUAAAAACCCGCAGCCAGAGAGAUUACAGAAGGAUUUCCUCAUUAACCAAGCUUAAAGAGCUGUUAUCCUCAAGAUUUCACUGCUUAUAAUUACUGCUUAUAAUCUAGGGACAGUACUGCGUUUGAUCUAAAAAUUAGUCUGUUUUAAUGAAUGGACAAAAGCUAAUUUUAGGCACCUUAUCAAUAUUUAUUGCUCUAGGAGUGAGAUAUUUGUCAUGAAUGUGUGGUUAACGUCUCGAGUUUUUACAAGCAAGUCCAGAAGCCAGCCCAAAGAAAACAUGAAAACAUUCCCUCCAAAAGCACUCCUUACAACUCACAUUCUCUCCUGUUUGCAGUCGGAAAGCCAUGGCUACUUUGCCGUCAAAUGAGAAGGGGACUAUGCUACUGCAGCUCGUGGACAGUGAGGGUUAGAGCUCUCAGGCAGUACAGAUGUUAGGAAGGUUCCGGCUGCCCAAAGUCAUCAACAAACAAAAACCGGAGAUGCAAGAAAACAGAUAAAAUACAUGGAAGAACUCCAUGAAACAAAUAGCAGGGAACUAAGCCCCACCCACUGAUACCUCAUACAGUCUCUCGCUGCAGCAAGAAUUAGAGGUAAUACAUCUGGGGAAAUCCCUCCAGGCUCUUCGUCAAAUAGAAAAACAACUACUCAUUUCAAAGAAGGGGGAAUUUUCAUGUGCUGUGCACAAAACUGCCAACUAACAACUACAUCGAUACCACUGUUAAACUAAAAUCUAAGAGGGUGCUUGCUAUAUUCUAAACGUAAAAGGUUAACCCAAGCCAGGCCUCCAGGAAGCCAUGUGUUAACCCUGCAAGGGAACUCUCCUCCAAGGCUACAACUGCAAGUCAGAUCUUUAAAAGCAAACUUUAGAUAAUGGCUUCAGCCUCAUGGUUAGCUUCCCAGGAGGUGUGUAACCUGACAAGGUAAAAAACUCACUGAAAUAUUUAACAGUGGUGGUAUGGAUUUCUUUGGAUAGGUCAAGAAAAGCAACUCAUUCCUUUUUAAAACAUAAAGAACCAUUUUAUGGGGAGUCAUUCAUUUUCUCAGUUCUAGUGUCUGAGUCUUUCCUCAGGGCCUUCUGAAAGACCUUACUGAAGAGGAAAAGGAAGAGCUAACAAAGGGCCCCCUCUCUCUCCCUAUUCCCAGUAUAAUCUACCUCAGCCACAGGGCCAGUAGCAUCCACACUGUCAUAAAUGCCAGCAAUUAGAGAAUUAGGCCAUAAAACCACCCACUCAGGUAUAAGAGCACAGGCCUGCAGCUUAUUUAAAGUGUGCCAUAAAGGAUCCUCUAGGGCCUUCACCACUAAGGAAAGACAGUAACUGCAAGAACAAAAUGGCCCUCUGUCUGCCCACCUUGCAGAGAUGUGUUCAGGGAAAUCAUCUGGGCCCAGGUGAAGGCCUAAGAUCCCUUUUCUUCAUAAAGAUUUCCCAUAUCCUCUACCAUGCUACAUGAGACCUAAGAAAGGGCGGGCUACAUUUUGAACACCAGUAUAGUGGAAACCAAAGCUGAGCUACCUUUUGCAGAAAUUAUUCUAGCUUAUCCCAAAACUAUUCUUGAAGCUCAGCUCGGCUAGUUCCUGACCUCAAGAAAUACUGGCACCUACAAUUAGCAAACGAUUUUAGUGAAAAAUAAUAAUAAUAAUUCAGGGCCCAUGAGAUGGAUCAGAAGGUAAAGGAAUCUGUGCCAAACCUGACAACCUGAGAUUUGAUCCCUGGGUCCCACAUGAGGAAAGGAAUCAAGUCCCACAGGUUAUCCUCUGACCUCCACAUAAAUGCUAAAACAUGUAUACAUGUAUAUUCGUAUGGGCUUUCAUGUACGUAUACAACACAUGUAAUUUUUAAAAAGCUAAUUCCAAUAACAAAGCUAUUUUAUUCAAUUUGUUCCAAAAUCUGGUACAAUUUGGGGUCAACCAGUAGUUUCAUUUUAUUAUUUAUCCUUACAACUUAGCAGCCCACAAAAAUCAUAGGUCUCUGAUUGAAUCCAUGAUCAAACUUAAUUCCUCAGAGUUCAUGAGCCAAUCUUGAUGAGACAGACCGGAGCACGUACUUUAUACCAGUGAACUCUAGCAUCUACUUCCUACUCGUGCCUAGAGGGUUAACAAUCAGGUCGAAACGUAGGUGCAUCAUGCCAGGCUCAUUAGUAAUUUAACCUUUCUUAAUCCCAGAAAAUGACAGGCAAACAGAGAAAAGGGUCCAUCACAGCAAUCCUCAGAGAGGUUCCUACUAGGACAGAGAUAGUCACAAAGCUCCCCCUUCCUCAGAACCCAGGCCACUAGGCUCUCUCCACCUUGCAGAAGAAUGGAGACAAGACACUCACAAAAGGCCCGAUUGAAGGCCUUCAGUGAAGUGCUAGAAGGGAGCUGAAGCCCUGUGCCAGCACUAGAGGAAUGUGGGCAGGCACAAAGAGAUCUUAAUUAGGAGACCUACAAUUAAAACACAGUGAGUCUCCAAAAGAGAGAGAGGCGGUGCAGUCUGUUACGCCUCCGAGCAGGCAAAAGUACUGCUGCCACCCCCUCCAGCCACAGAGUAAGGGCAGCAACUGGCUGGCACGGGCUGCACAGCUGCUCUCUGGAAGGACAGCUCCAAGGUGAGCAGAGAUGAGAAAUGCAGCCCAAAUGGGAGCGCUUCUCCUAACUUCAAGUCAGAAGGGAGCUCACUAUAGUACGAACCAUUUCCUCCAGGAGCAUGUGCCCUGAGAUGCUUAAUUGGGAAAGAGUGGAGACAUAGUAUACGGCUGAGAGAGAGAGAGAGAGAGAGAGAGAGAGAGAGAGAGAGAGAUCUGACAACUAACUCAAAGGAGGUAUUAUCACUCUGGAUUUCUAGAUACAUAACUUACACACUUAACAAAAUACAUAUCAUUCACACUGAAAAUAGUUUCUGUUUAGGUAAGAAAAUUCCAGCCAUGAAAACAAGGAGAUAACACCGGGGUUCUACAGGUACUCUGCAUUUUAUUUCAAAGUUGAUCUUCAAGUCAGACACGGUGGUGUCUGUCGUCCGAGCAAUUUAAGAGGCAGUGGCAGGACUGCUUGAACCUAGAAGUUCAAGGUCACCACAAACAACAUAGCUAGAUCCCAACACAACGAAAUCUCCACAGUUGUUGUCAACCUCAGCAAAACCCUUACAGUUUUUCCAUAUAAUGAGAACUUUCCCACCAAGAUGAAAUUUCUCCUAACAAUAAUGAUAGUGAAAUGGGCAAGUGUACAGUCUGAUACUAAAAGGCAGCAAAGAGUCUCACUCUGGCUCUUGAAAUAAACUCAGAAUAAGAAAUUCUGGUGUAGGUGUGGUGGUACAUGCCUGUGAUCCCACCACUUGGGGGACACCAAGGCAGGAGGACUGACAAAUCCAAGACUAGUCUGCCCUUCAUUCAUAAGGCAUUCCACAACAGCCAAGAGCUAUAGGGCAAGAACCAGACUUGAUGGUGGUGAUGAUGAUGAUGAAGAGGAAGAGGAGGAAGAGGAAGAGAAAGAACAAGAAGGAGAAGAGGAGGAGAGUAAAAUGAUGGAACAGAAAGGUUUGUGAGCUAUUUAGUAAAACUUCAUUUAUAGAUCAAAAAUUUAAGGUGAAAAGUGAACUUCCCAGUUGGGUGUGGUGGCACAUGCCUUUGAUCCCAGCACUCAGGAAAUAAUGAAUGGCAGAUCUCCACAAACUCAAGGCCAGCCUAGUCUACAUAGUAAGACCCUGACUCAAAAACAAGCAAAAAAAAAAUCUGAACUGUUCAGUUUGUGCUAGCAGACAGUGGGGCGGGGUGGGGGGUGGGGGCGAGAAUUAUUAGUAAGGGGAAAAAAAAAAUCACAGACCCUCUCCAGCUGCCUUCCAGCUAGAUAGAGAACUACCCUCUUUUCCUGCCCCAGGCCACAGGGCUUCACUGAAACUUUAAAUGAAAACAAAUAUGCACCAUGUUGUAAUUCCGCUUCGAUAUCACAUAGAAUUAAAGUGCACAGCAUUGAGAUCAAGAGAAAACCGCCUCUAACAUGUUGAGAGGAGCUAGGAAAGGCCUAUGAAAUCAAUGAGGGCUGCGAGCUACUAAGAGACUUCUGAGAUUUAUGUCAAGGUAGUACAAAGUCUCGUUGAGAGAAGAUGCUGCCUGGCUGUGUUUAUUUAGACGGACCCGAGACAGCUGCUGCUGACAUCAUGGAGACCAUGGAAAGAAAGCACAGGACUCGGACUUGUGUGAUGUCCUAGAGGCAAGGCUUCAGAUCCACUUCCUAACUCACACAGGACAACGCCCAAACAUCUAUGUAUUUUGAAAACCACUUCAUCAUAACAGAACGGAGUCCCAAGGACUCACAUGUCGUUGUUACCAGAGGGAUUUCUAUCCAAGGAGAGCAAAGAGCCAAUGGCAAUGGAGGACAGGCCUCCUGUGGACAGCACGGUUCCUACAGGGGCAUCUGGAAGUGCCGUCAUGCAGCGUUAGAACUUAGCUUUGAUUAUGUACAGCUCCGAGUCAUUAUUCACAUAAAGUAAACCGCAAUUUAAAGAGGUUAGAAUCCAUCUGGGUCCUGUAACCAUUUCAAGAGGCCGGACAAGACCUCCUAAGAAGCAUAGACAAGUUCUAAGCAGCAACCUUUAGGAUCCUGUGAGUGUAUCGGACUGCAGUAAGUCCCAUAGAACACUGUCACUGAUGUGUAAGACUAUGUCACAAAACACUUGGCUUCUCUGCUGAAAGCCACCCUGGUUUACCAUGAAUGACACAUAACUCUUGGCCCAUGCUAGACAGCCUCAAACUACCAGACGGAAAGCUUACCAACAGCUCAUUCAAGCCCAGUUCAGGAAAAAAAAAAAAAAAAGUAACACUGGAACCUGACGCAAGGAGUCAAGCACUCCGCUCUCUAUGAAACAGUGACUACCACCCAGCACAGGUUUUAAAGCGACAACCUCCCCGGUACUCUCGAUCUCACUUUUUUUUUUGCAGGAGCUGGGAUUCCCGACCAAGCUUUACACCCCUAACUCCCAGUAAGGCAAACCGAAGAACUAGCUCACAACCCUCUCAUAACACUGACAGGUAAGAAACUGUUAGUACCUGAAUACAACUUUACUGGUACUCUGUCAAAGGCCAACAGAUGAAAUAUUCUGAUGCCCAGACCAUUAGGUCCCUGAAUCCAGGUCUGUCUGUCUGUCUGUCUGUCUCUCUCUCUCUCUCUCUCUCUCUGUCUGUCUCUCCCUAACCAGUCUCUGGAAAAGUUAUGAUUGGAAGCUGCCGGCUUUGCUUUUGAGUAUGUGAUAAGAACAUUUAGAACUCGAACACAUGGUCCUUCAAUACAAAAUGCAUGAGUAUGCCAAGCAACAGAAUGCUGCCGGCUCAGGAAUCCCCUUAAAGCAGACCAACUUCUAACAGACUUUCUUAUUUUACUCAAACAGACACAGGACCAGAAUUCUACAUAUAACGAGUCAAGUCUCAGUUUUGAAAAUAUGCAGAUGAAUAUGUCGAUGGCAACUUUCCUUUUUGCUGAAAAAGGCUGAAUUCCGUUCAUCGGAGCAUCCCGGUUCUCAGCCUUUACCUCAUCCACCUUGAGUCUCCCACUAGGAAUCGCAGAAAGACUAACUUGGCUUCAUAACCCUCCUCUUUCUCCCAACCCAAAGCAUCAACAACCAACGCCACCACACUAAGGCAAAACUGUCCUUUUAUCUACUCUCAUUCCAACCCGGCUUUCCUCCACCCCCUUCCAAGACCCAGGAUUGGCCUAGGAAAAGGUGGAUCAAUAAUGAAAUGACGAGAAAAAGAGAAGGGCGGGAGGGAGCCAGGGCCAGAGGCUGCAAGCUCUCAGGCGCAGUGGGUGGGGUAAGAGAGCAGCUGCUUCCCUUGGGAGGAUGCAGUCCUAGUUCCCCCACAAACAUCACCCCUCACCGGGGCCCCCUUUCUCAAGAGCUGGAGAGAAACCCUGCUCCUCUCAAGGAGAAUGCUAGAAAGUAGCUCUGCUCCAAGCCUAGGGGAACACUGGACCAUUUUCCCUCGAACACACCUCUGGUCCUUCCUCUAAAGGAGGGAAAGGGGUGGAGUUGGAGGUAAAUCCCUGACACCAGCAGCCUAGGAAACGUAGCCCUGGAAGAUGAGGAAAGAGACAACGCUGGGGAGAGCACUGUUAUCUUCGCAGGAGAGAUGAGAACGACAAGGUAGAGAGAAAGCUUUCCCCGAGGGGUAGGGCGGAACGAGGAGGCCUGGUGUGCAGGAGGUGGGAGUGGGCUGGUGGUAGAGGUGAGACAAGGGGGAGUGACUGGCAAGGUGAAGACCUGGCUGGGGAGGGAGGGAGGGUUGGUCAGGUUUUCAGAAGCAAGGUGCAGGAAGGGACCUGGAUUUCCCAAGGGCCAGGAUAAGAACCUGGCUCUGGAUGAAGCCACCACCCGAGAGAUGUCCAAGGGGGAAGACUGCCCUAGGAGUAACACAUCUGCCCAGGGAAGGAGGCGGAGAUGUGGCGGGAUCAGGUCUCUGGCAGAGGGAGGGAGGAAUCUGGCUCGGAUGAGGUAAUCUGUGAAAGGGAGGAGGGGUUCAGUCCCGGGAUGGGAAACCCCCGCAAGGGGGUCUGUGCCAAGGGAUUUGGGGAAGGGUCCAGGGGAAGAAGGCGGGACGGGGGCUAAAGGCCCUCAACUAGAAGGGUCUGAGCCCUCGGGUAAGGGCGCCUGGGGGUCUGCAGCCCAUAACGGGGGUCCUGAGAUGGGAGGGCCAUUUGCCCCACGUUAGGGACCCCAGGAUGUUUCCAGAAUUGGGAUGCUCCUCAGACCUGCAUGGGGGAGGGGAGGGGUUCUUCAGAGGGUCGAGACCCCGGACCUUGGGGUUCCUCGCCCCCUUACCUCUCCGCUGCCGCCUCCCCCGCCGCUCUCCCCAAACACUGCCCGGAACCGGCGCAGGUUGGUGCCGAUGGCGGCCGAGACCUGCAGCGCCGCGUCGAAGCCCGGGCCCACCCGGAGCAGGGCCGGCCCUGAGGAGGCUGAGGACGAUGACGAAGACGAAGACGAGGCGGACGACGAAGAGGCUGCUGAGGCGGCGGCCGCUCCCCCUGGAACCCCAGCCCCGCUGCUUCCCGCCGCCGCCGCCGCCACCGCCGGGGGGGAGGGGGGCGCCCCGGGGCCGCCACCGCCGGCCUGGGGCCCGGGGGGAAGCAGCAAGGCCGGGACGCGUUGCCGCGGGGCGCCCCCUAGGCCCCGGCGCCCCCCGCCGCCGCCGCCCCCGGUGGUCCCGGGUCGGGCGGGGAAGCGCCACCGACAGCUGUGCGCCAUGUUCGCCCCGUAAGUGAAGCAGCGAGAGGGAGAGGCGACAACACAGGGGGGCGGGGAGGCGGAGGGGGGGGAGCGGCGGGCCCCGGAACCUGCCUAACCCGCCUGGCGCCGCCCAGAUGGCCGUACCCCGCGGCCCGCUAUGCCGAGCGCCGGGUGGCGCCCGCCUGCCCUGCAAUCUGCAUAUGAGCCUCUGGCCUCCGCCUCCGCCGCCCGGAGGCCGCUGCUCUAUGCCGAGCCCCGGGCCCGGCUCCUCCCGCCCGGCAACCUGGAUAAGUGCAUGCCCCGCCCUCCGGGAGCGGCAGCGCCAGGGAAGAUGAGGGGGGGAAGGAAGCCCUGGAGCCCGGAGCGGAGGCGGGUUCCGGGGAGAGGGGGGAGGGGGCGAGGGCGGCGGGAGGAUGGAGGCGGAGGGAGCGGGUGGCCCGCAGCCGAGAGAGCCGAGAAGCCGAUUACACACGUUCCCGGGACGCGCAGGGACUUGAGCGGCCCAGGAGAACCGCUUCCAGUGCGGCGCGGCUGCUGGGUCCCCGGAGGAGCGAGCCUUCUCCGCCGCUUUGGAGAGCGGCGGGCUUAGCCCUUAUGGAACGCUUCUAGAAUCCAGAAAGCUCCAUUGUACUCCAUGCAAAACCCAAGCGUCGCCCAAUUGAUUCUAUGCAAAAUGGCAAGGCUCUCGGCGAACGCGCCUUAAAAAAAUAAAAUCCAAUAAAAGAGGAGCCCCUCCCAUCUUCACGCUUGGAGCUCUUUCCAAAAUCCACACAACCGUGUGGUCGGCCUCUGCCACCUCCUCGCUCCACUGUGCGCUGGAGGGAGGUGAGGGGCUUCUGGUUUCCGUGCCCUUCUCCGGAGUUGGGGUGUGUUUUCCCAGUCCAGGCGUUGGAGCCACAGCGUGCGCUCCGCAAACGACCUGGCGUUACAACGGAGCUGAAACUGGGUGGCUAACGGACAGGGCCUGGAGGGAAGAGGCGGGCAAAGGCGCCCCGCCCCUUCUUCCUCCGCUUCCAGCCUGCCGCUGCAUGCAAAGCAGACCCUAAUGUAUGCACACGGAGGGAGGGGGCUCGCCAGCACAUUUCUCAUGAUUGGGAGGGGGGGGGUUUGAAGCCCGGCGUAGGGCAUUAUGAUACACAGGGUUAGCAAGCCGAGAGGGAGGGAAGAGGGGUAGGGCAGUGCCGGGGGUUGAUGGUGGGGUGAAUAUCCACGGGAUUUACUUUAUUGCAGGAAAUGGGAGACGGCGCCUCCAGCGAGGCGUUAGAAGCCUGCGGGGAUGGAAAAGCCAAGGAGGGAGGGAGAGAUUGCUGCCCGAAGAAUUUGCCUUGGCUGAGGCUUAGGGAUCGAUACACUGCCUGCAGACCCGGAGCAGCCUCCAUCUCCCCCAACCCCCAGCCGAGGUGGAGUUCGCAGGAAGGUCAUGCAGCCGUCCAGGUCUCCCGCACCGUUACUUUGGAGCUAUGGCCUUAGCUAUUUGAGACUGAUCUUGAACUUACGCAGCCAAAGAUGACACUGAGCUUUCUGCCUCUGGACUGCUUGGAAUACAGCAGGAGGUGACCACAGGGGACAAGAGAGGACAUCAGAACCUCUAGAACUGGAGUGACAGGCAGUUGGGCACCACCUGACACAGGUGGGAAACAGCCCUGAGUGAGCUGUAAGAGCCACACCCACCCUUAGCUGCUGCACUCUCUCUUCAGCCCCCUAACAUACACACCCCAUCUUUUUUUCUUUUCUUUUCUUCUUUCUUUCUUUCUUUCUUUCUUUUUUUUUUUUUUUUUUUUUUUUUGAGUCUAACUGGUCUAGUCCUGAGCUAUGUAAACCAACCUAGCCUCAAACUUAGAAAGGUCCUCCUGCUUCUGUUCCCGAGUACUGGAAUCACAGGCAUGUCUGGCAUCAUAUGGUUAGAAUGUUAAUGAAAUUGAAAACCCCACUGCCUUGGUUCUGAGAUAGCACGAUAGCACGUUUCUGACAUCAAUCUCUGUCUUCCCUUCAUGAUAGUAAAUGUUACGUUAAUACUUCCAAAGAUGACCUAUAUCUAAACGAGUGAGUCCAUAGAGAACUUUGUCCAUAAAUACAAGACUGUCAAGUCUUAUAUGCCAUCUCAGUGGUUCCACUUAAUAAACCUGGGGAAUUGUUUUUGUUACUCUUGGGGAUGUUUAAAAACUUGGGGACAGUUUUUAAACGUGCGGUGGAAAUGUAUAUGGCUUUCAAUCUACUGACUGGCCUGUUCCUCCUCCUCUCCCUCCUCCUCUUGCUCCUCUUCCUUCUCUUCCUCCUCUUCUUCCUCUUCUCCCUCCUCCUCCUCUUCAUCUUUUUAUUUUUACUUUAUGUGGGUGGGUGUUUUGCCUGCAUGUAUGUCUAUGCACUACCUACAAGCAGUAGCUGUGGAGGUCAGAAGAAGAUGCAGAAUUCCCCCUAGACUGGAGUUAUAAAUGAUUGAGAGUUUACAUAUGGGUGGGUGCUGGGAAUCAAACCUGGGUCCUCUGGAAGAGCAGCCAGUGCUCUGAACCACUGAGCCAUCAUCUCAUCAAAACAAAACAAAGUAGUGUUUCACAGUGUAGCCCAAGAUCUCCUGCAACUCACUCUGUAGCCCAGACCCUGACCUCAAACUUGAGGCAAUCCUCUUGCCUCUGUUGAAUGCUAAUGUUAUAGGUGUGAGUCACCAUGCCCGGCCAUUCUAUUCAAUUUCACACAAUAACACGGUGCACAGCCUUGGACACCACUUUGCAACUGUGUGAUAUACCUUUAGUAUGAAGUCCCAGAAGUGCAGUUGCUGAACUCCAAGUAUGAACAUUUGUGAUUUUUGACAGCUAUUACCAAAUUGUCCCCAGUAAAGGUUAUCCUAGUGAUUCAUAUUGCCAUGAGCAAUUCUGAAGAGGGCCUCUUUCUCCAUAGCUUCUCGGAAAGCUUUGUCCUAACCUUCUUCUUGAUCUUUGCUAACCUAAUAAAAAUGCACAUAUUUUACUUUUUUUUUUUUCAAAUGAGAGAAGGAAACUUUCAGGAAGGAAACUCCAAAUUUUGCCCGUUUCUGUGAACUCAUAAAUUAUUUUGGCUUUAAAGGGGGCCGGAGAGGUUGGCUCACAGCUUAAGAGCAAUUGUUGCUUUUGCAGAGGACCUGGGCUCUAUUCUCAGCAUACACAUGAUAGCUCACAGCCACCCUAACUCCAGCUCCAGGAGAUGCAGUGCCCCAUCUGACCUCCAUGAACAGCAGACAUGCAAGUGAUAACACAUACAUAGAUGCAAGCAAGCACUCACACAUAAAAUGAGAAAACCUACAUGUCUUUCAAAGGGACUCCUAGGUGUUGACUCUCUUUUUCUCUACCCUGAGGACUCCUCACUACAAAUCAGUAUCAUGGUGUGACUAACAUGGGUUCAGAGCCACCAGCCUAGGCUUGAUUUGCAGGUACCUAGCCAUAUGCCUGUUUCCUCAUUUGCAAACAUAAGAAUAUUAAUAGCAACUCCACAAGAUUCCUAUGAAGAUUAAAGUUUAUAGACUAAGCAUCUUCUUUUUUAUUCAAAUGGAAACAACACCCUCCAACACACACACACACACACACACACACACACACACACGCCCAGAUUUCUCCUUUUUUCUGUGUUUUGAGACAGGGUUUCAUACAACCCAGGCUCUCCUCAAACUUGCUAUGUGGCUUACUCUUGAUCCUUCUGCUUCAACUUUCUCAGUGUUUCACCCAGGUUUUUCUCACUUUUGGUAAAGACCGUGCUCGAAAUUUCCAUUCUCCAAAAAGAGCUCUGAAUAGACAUGGUGCGUCAGUACAGUAGACCCAAAGGUCUUUGAACUAAAACAAGAAGCUAGUGGAGUCAUUUAAAUAUCCGGGUCAUCACAGAACAGGGGGCUGUUCAGAAUCUCUGGGAUUGCUUUCUUCUGAAAAGAAAGGGCUAAGUCUAUAACUUCUUCUAUAAAGGUGCCCUUAUAAUGCAGAGUUAACAGUUCAACCUGGGCGUAUGGCGCACACCUGAAUUCCCAGCACUAGGAAGGUAGAGGCUGCGGAUGGGUGGAGAGUGUGAAGCCAGUCUGGUCUGCACACUGAGUUCAAGG